CUGCACCUUUAGUACAGUGUCCAGUUUUGGGCCCCUCACUGCAUGACAUUGAAGCCCUGGAGAGGGUUCAAAGAAGGGCAAUAAAUGUGGACUGUUCCAUCAUCUUCUUAAUACACAACCUGGGAAAGUUGAGGACUGGAAGUUAUGGCCUCAUCUGGCUCAUUACAUGACCAAACUACUUGCUGAAGUUCUGGCCAGGCUUGAAUUCAUCUCAGAUGCCUCCAGUGUAAAUACUCAGAUCUGAACUAAUCAUCCCAGUUUCCCUUCAUAGACAAUGCAGAAACAGGCACUUCCGGAAUAUUUUUCAAAUCACUCUAAAACAGACUCCCAGCAUAAGCUGGAUAAAUUAUUGUUUAAAGGUGCCUAUUAAUUUCAAAUAUCUACAAAGAGAUACAUGGAUGUUGUCUGGAUCCAGAUAAGACUCAGGAAGUUGGUAGAAGUAGUCUACUCGGCACCCUCUGGAAACUCUUGUGGAUAUUGAACAGCACACUGGGACAAAGGAGGCUCCCUGCAUUAACCCUGGUAUUUCUGAUGAUGUGAUAGUAAACAUGUGAGUGCUAUGUGUAUAGCUAACUCUGAAAGUAAUGCCUCCUAUUUAUUUCCAAGGAAACUACAACAGAAACAAAGAUCAUCAUAACUCUAUUUGAAAGAACAAAUUCUUAGCUACUGAACACCUGUUUUGUCAGCGUAGUCACCAACAUUAUCUAUGCAUUUUGGCCAGCAAUGAACAAGAGCCUGCAUGCUGUGGAUGUAAAAAUCUACAUGGCUGUCUGAAAUGUGGCUUGUCUUUCAUGCUUAUGGCACCAUUUCUGAAGAUUCUUCUACAUGGAGGAAUUCAGUUUCACACCUUUGCUUCAUACGUACUUCCAUGUCAGAUACCAUUUUGUUAGGCUGCCACUCUCCUGCCAUCUGUCACACAGCAACAAAAUGUAGCGGAAUACUGGUAGGAAGGUUCAACCUUACUGCCUUACUACCAACAUCCACCUCUGAUGCCAUGGCCCAACAUAAUAAAUAGAUGUUACUUUUGAAGCAGUAUCACUAUUUCUUUGCUGUAUUUGUGCCAGACUGUUCACUCUUUCCAUGUUCAUUUGUCCAUGUUCAUUUAUAGCAACUUAUAUCCUGAAAUUAAUUCUCUCCUACUUGGCUCCAGCUUUUACAAAUAUUUGUUUCAGGUUACAUCCUUGGUGCUUCUGCUGUCACAUUCUGUGGACUCAGUUUGCUCAUCAUAAGAAAUAAUCUCAAAUUUACUUGGGAUAGAAAAGAUCUUAAGGAGUAAAAUAUUGGCAUCUUUUCCGAGGUCUAGGGCAGGAAAUUCCAAACUCGCCUAUCUCUUGUGAAUCACACCUACAUUUUCUACCUGGCUAUACUUUGCAUGGUGCCUUUCAUUAAGUAACAGUUGUCAUAUUGUAUGGUACAAGAGGCAGAGAGUAUAAGGAAGAGGAAGAACCUUUGACAACUUUUAGAACCAUCUAAACAAGAAUUACAUCUUCUGUUUGGCUUGGCUUUUCUGUACAGAGUGAAUGCAGCCGCAUUGUGGCUCAGUAUACCUCUGAAAUCCAUGCACGUAUAAUCAGAAUUUCAGCUCUUUUUUAAUUGCUUUUGUAUAUUAAAAGAGUAAUCUGUUGCCUAAUUACAUAUAUUAAAAAUCUAAAAUAAAAUGUUGCAAUGCUUAGAGAUGAUGAUUAUGAAAGAUAUCCAGGUUUUCUAGCAGCCUUUUCAUGUUAGAAAGCUCCCUUGAAUGGGAAUGAACAACCCUUAAGUCUUUGGUUCUAGAUGUAUAAGGUCUGCUCCAAAAGUAAUGCCUCCUAUUUUGUCAUCCAUAAUAUCAGAGCUGGAUGUCAGUAGUAUGGUAGUGGGUAGUGAACUUCAGCAGUGGUGACUGCAGUAUGAAAGGCAAGCCACAUUCUGGUUAUCUAUGCACAGCUGUCAUGUUAUGAAAUGAAGUGUCUUUAACAGCUCAUCCAUGCAAAUUGGCUAAUGAUGGUGACUUUCUGAUAAAUAGUGUUUUGUUGCUGAAAAUUUGCUCUAUCCAUUAGUGUUGUUAUGCUCUUUGUUGUAGUUUCCAUUAAAAUAAAUAGGAGGCAUUAUUUUUAGAGAGAUCUAUGUAUGGUUUUUAAAGCCUUAUUCUCUAAAAAGCUCAUAAUUAUUUGCUGUUUCUUUUUCCAUUUGUUAUUUAGUUAUUUUCAGUGGAACUAUCAUUAUAAAUGAAAUGAAAUACUAAGUAAAAGGAGAGGUUUUUUUGAAAGACAAUAUUCAAUGUAUUAGAGAAUUAUUAGUAAAAUAUAGGCAACAGCAUCUUUCAGUCAUGACCAUUUGGUUCUGUUUGAGAGAUGAGAUUGCAUGUACAAGAGACUGUGAAUAAGUCAUUUUGAAUAUGAGAAGCAGUGUUUGUGUAUUUCUUUUUGGCUAUAUGCUACACAGAUUCCAUUCUGUGUUUACUAGAGUCUAGAAAUACACAUUUCCCUGUGUGUAAGUGAUAUGUGCAUGUAUGUCACUCUGGUUUCUGUCUACGUAUAUAUGAUACACUAGGAUCCUUUGGGGGAGGGGGGCGGCAUCUCAAUAUUAAAACUUUGUAUAUUGGAGAUAUGAUAGUUCUUUGAGGGAAAUCUAGAGAGAAAUAGAAUGAAGGCUGAGAUUAAGAAAGAAGGUAAAAGAUCUGGAAAUGGGAUAUCAGUAUGUAGUAACAAAAGGAACAGGAAAUGUAAACAUGGAAGAAGGAACACAAUCAGCAGAGAAGUGCGCAUGCUGCAAGUAAAAUUCCCUGCCUUACUAGUAAGGUGAAGUAUAUGGCUUUCUGUUUGUUGUUUUUUUUGAAGGUACCUGCAAAAGGAUCAUGGUUAUCCCUAUGUUCCAAGAAGGCCUCUUCAUCUUGAAAUUUCUAUGUUAUUUAUGCAAAAACAAUGUAAAGCAGAUAGAAUGUAACACUCAGAGGCUCUGAACAGGCUAGAGGCUACACUGUGCUUGAUACUGCACAGAUAAUAACAGGCAACACAUGCCCAAAGGGCAUUACUGUUCUGUAUACACACUCAGUUUAAAUUCAUCAGGAAUAAACAAUUGGAUCCAUGGCAGGGAUGAUAUCUCUAAAGACUGUGAUUUGCAGUGGACUGAAUUAGUUGUGCAUGCAGUAUUGACGUUUGGGCCUACUGAUGUUAAAUUUUAAAGCUGUGUCUUCAAAGAAUGCAAGAUAAAUACAGUGAAAGGGUACAGCAGUAAGACUUGAAAAGAUUAAACUCUGUAUCCUGUACAUACAACGUGUUAAAUAACAGACAUAAGAACAAAAUAACUACCAUGCAUUUUUCAUGCACUAAAGCUGACUGCUUAACAGCCUCUUAGAAUAUCCAGGACAUCUAGCCAAGCAGAAAUGAAGUGCUUUAUUUAUUUUGUUAUUGAUAGCUGGGAGUGGGGUGAGGAAUUUUAAACAAUUUUCUGAGUAUUGUUCUCACUAAUGUCUGGGAAACUGCUUUUGAGCUGCUGAAUUUCAUUGCUUCUAUCAAGGUUGCUUUUGUUUGAGUUGACUUUCCCAGUCUCUCUGUUUAUUCAAUGCUAAGCUAAGUACUUGAACAAUGGAGAAAUUGUAAGCUUUUUGAAAUAAAAUUUUUGAUAAU